UACGUAGGGUCCGAGCGUUUAUCCGGAAUUAUUGGGCGUAAAGAGCUCGUAGGCGGUUUGUCGCGUCGAAUGUGAAAACCCGGGGCUCAACCCCGGGCCUGCAUUCGAUACGGGCAGACUAGAGUUCGGUAGGGGAGUCUGGAAUUCCUGGUGUAGCGGUGAAAUGCGCAGAUAUCAGGAGGAACACCGGUGGCGAAGGCGGGUCUCUGGGCAGUAACUGACGCUGAGGAGCGAAAGCGUGGGGAGCGAACAGG
rnacentral:rRNA from 1 species